rnacentral:rRNA from 1 species
UACGAAGGGGGCUAGCGUUGUUCGGAAUUACUGGGCGUAAAGGGCGCGUAGGCGGUGUGUCAAGUCAGGCGUGAAAGCCCCGGGCUCAACCUGGGAACAGCGCUUGAGACUGGCACGCUCGAGUUCGGGAGAGGAUGGUGGAAUUCCCAGUGUAGAGGUGAAAUGCGUAGAUAUCUGGAGGAACACCGGUGGCGAAGGCGGCAUCCUGGACCAAUAUUGACGCUGAGGAGCGAAAGCCAGGGGAGCAAACGGG